rnacentral:rRNA from 1 species
UCCUGGCUCAGGAUAAACGCUGGCGGCGUGCUUAACACAUGCAAGUCGAACGGAGUACUUCUCCCGAGACCGAGGAAGCUUGCUUCCAAAGAAUCAUUGAAGUACUUAGUGGCGGACGGGUGAGUAACGCGUGGGUAACCUGCCUCACACAGGGGGAUAACAGUUGGAAACGACUGUUAAUACCGCAUAAGCGCACAGUAUCGCAUGAUACAGUGUGAAAAACUCCGGUGGUGUGAGAUGGACCCGCGUCUGAUUAGCUAGUUGGUGAGGUAACGGCCCACCAAGGCGACGAUCAGUAGCCGGCCUGAGAGGGUGUACGGCCACAUUGGGACUGAGACACGGCCCAAACUCCUACGGGAGGCAGCAGUGGGGAAUAUUGCACAAUGGGGGAAACCCUGAUGCAGCGACGCCCGCGUGAGUGAUGAAGUAUCUCGGUAUGUAAAGCUCUAUCAGCAGGGAAGAUAAUGACGGUACCUGACUAAGAAGCACCGGCUAAAUACGUGCCAGCCGCCGC